UACGUAGGGGGCAAGCGUUGUCCGGAUUUAUUGGGCGUAAAGAGCGUGUAGGCGGCCAUACAGGUCCGUUGUGAAAACUGGAGGCUUAACCUCCAGACGUCGAUGGAAACCGUAUGGCUAGAGUCCGGAAGAGGAGAGUGGAAUUCCUGGUGUAGCGGUGAAAUGCGCAGAUAUCAGGAAGAACACCCGUGGCGAAGGCGGCUCUCUGGGCCAACACUGACGCUCAUGCACGAAAGCGUGGGGAGCAAACAGG
rnacentral:rRNA from 1 species